rnacentral:rRNA from 1 species
CAGCCGCGGUAAUACGUAGGGUGCAGGCGUUAAUCGGAAUUACUGGGCGUAAAGCGUGCGCAGGCGGUUUGUUAAGACAGGUGUGAAAUCCCCGAGCUCAACUUGGGAAUUGCGCUUGUAACUGGCAAGCUAGAGUGUGGCAGAGGGGGGUGGAAUUCCACGUGUAGCAGUGAAAUGCGUAGAUAUGUGGAGGAACACCGAUGGCGAAGGCAGCCCCCUGGGUUAACACUGACGCUCAUGCACGAAAGCGUGGGGAGCAAACAGGAUUAGAUACCCUGGUAGUCCACGCCCUAAACUAUGUCAACUAGUUGUCGGGGAAGAAAUUCCUUGGUAACGAAGCUAACGCGUGAAGUUGACCGCCUGGGGAGUACGGCCGCAAGGUUAAAACUCAAAGGAAUUGACGGGGACCCGCACAAGCGGUGGAUUAUGUGGAUUAAUUCGAUGCAACGCGAAAAACCUUACCUACCCUUGACAUGCCAGGAAGCCUGCAGAGAUGUGGGUGUGCCCGAAAGGGAACCUGGACACAGGUGCUGCAUGGCUGUCGUCAGCUCGUGUCGUGAGAUGUUGGGUUAAGUCCCGCAACGAGCGCAACCCUUGUCGUUAAUUGCCAUCAUUUAGUUGGGCACUUUAACGAGACCGCCGGUGACAAACCGGAGGAAGGUGGGGAUGACGUCAAGUCCUCAUGGCCCUUAUGGGUAGGGCUUCACACGUAAUACAAUGGUCGGUACAGAGGGCUGCCAACCCGCAAGGGGGAGCUAAUCCCAGAAAGCCGAUCGUAGUCCGGAUUGUAGUCUGCAACUCGACUGCAUGAAGCCGGAAUCGCUAGUAAUCGCGGAUCAGCAUGUCGCGGUGAAUACGUUCCCUGGUCUUGU